CGCAGGAGGCGGAGCGGAAGGAAGCGGUUCAACCGCCGUCGCUAGUCUCUCACCCAGAUCUUCCUAAAUGCUGGGGCCUCUCUAGUCCCUUGCUGUCUUCCGCUGGAUCUCAAAGCCGCUGAGGCGCCUGUCGCCUCAGCUGAAUGGAGGAUGCGCAGUGGCAUCCUAUGCGAAGGCUAGAAGGGCAAAGGACGCUUUAGGUUCCUGUGGCACCUGCUGACUGUGAGCGCUAUCUGUGCUGCUGCCUUCUCGCAGGCAGGGUAACAGGACUUUUGAGAACUUGGAAGAUGCAAGAACUCUUAAAUGGCUUCAUUUGCAGUCUUUGAGGGAAUCAUUUGCGGGGUGCUUCACUUAUGAGUACUUCAGGGCUGGCCAGGGAGCACCCUUACCUCUGGCUUUGUGUCUUCAGUUCUUUCAAGGUGGGAGUGAUUUCCUGCAGCAUUUCAACAUGCUCUUGACUUCGAACCUGACCCAUGGCCUGGACUAGUGUGAACAGAACCGUCUGAAUGUUGUCUUGCCACGAUUUGUAUUCAGCCAGGAACUGCCUGACACUGCUCUCAUAGGGAAUAUCUUCAGCAUCUGCCAGAGCAGCCUCUUCGUCCUGCCACCAAUGCAGACAUAGACCACUGAAACAGACUUACUUGUUCCAGCAAUUCCUUUCAAGACAGUCACCUCUUAAGAGGUAGUAAGUGAUCUAAAUGUCACUGUGUUUGAAGUGCUUAUAGGUCAGUUUUCUUUUACUAUAGAAUCUUUAUUUCUAGCAUAUUUAUUUCAAAUAAAAAGACUAUUAUAGCCGUUCUUUACAA